rnacentral:rRNA from 1 species
CAUGCUCCCGGCCGCCAUGGCGGCCGCGGGAAUUCGAUUAGGAUAGAGGCCUACCAUGGUGGUAACGGGUAACGGGGAAUUAGGGUUCGAUUCCGGAGAGGGAGCCUGAGAAACGGCUACCACAUCCAAGGAAGGCAGCAGGCGCGCAAAUUACCCAAUCCCGACACGGGGAGGUAGUGACAAUAAAUAACAAUACGGGGCUCUUUCGGGUCUCGUAAUUGGAAUGAGUACAAUUUAAAUCCCUUAACGAGGAACAAUUGGAGGGCAAGUCUGGUGCCAGCAGCCGCGGUAAUUCCAGCUCCAAUAGCGUAUAUUAAAGUUGUUGCAGUUAAAAAGCUCGUAGUUGAAUUUCGGGAUUGACACAUCAGUCGUGCCUUAAGGGGUAUGAACUGGUGUAGUCAAUUUCUCACCUUCUGGAGAACCGCGAUGCCCUUAAUUGGGUGUCACGGGGAACCAGGACCUUUACUUUGAAAAAAUUAGAGUGUUUAAAGCAGGCAUUUUGCUUGAAUACAUUAGCAUGGAAUAAUAAAAUAGGACGGCAUGAUUCUAUUUUGUUGGUUUCUAGGAUCACCGUAAUGAUUAAUAGGGAUAGUUGGGGGCAUUAGUAUUCAAUUGUCAGAGGUGAAAUUCUUGGAUUUAUUGAAGACUAACUACUGCGAAAGCAUUUGCCAAGGAUGUUUUUCAUUAAUCAAGAACGAAAGUUAGGGGAUCGAAGACGAUCAGAUACCGUCGUAGUCUUAACCAUAAACUAUGCCGACUAGGAAUCAGACGAUGUUAAUUUUUUAAUGACUCGUUUGGCACCUUACGGGAAACCAAAGUGUUUGGGUUU